rnacentral:rRNA from 1 species
AACGAACGCUGGCGGCAUGCCUAACACAUGCAAGUCGAACGAGACCUUCGGGUCUAGUGGCGCACGGGUGCGUAACGCGUGGGAACCUGCCCUUAGGUUCGGAAUAACUCCCCGAAAUGGGUGCUAAUACCGGAUAAUGUCUUCGGACCAAAGAUUUAUCGCCUUUGGAUGGGCCCGCGUUGGUUUAGCUAGUUGGUAGGGUAAAAGCCUACCACGGCGACGAUCCAUAGCUGGUCUGAGAGGAUGAUCAGCCACACUGGGACUGAGACACGGCCCAGACUCCUACGGGAGGCAGCAGUGGGGAAUAUUGGACAAUGGGCGAAAGCCUGAACCAGCAAUGCCGCGUGAGUGAUGAAGGCCUUAGGGUUGUAAAGCUCUUUUACACGGGAUGAUAAUGACAGUACCGGGAGAAUAAGCUCCGGCUAACUCCGUG